rnacentral:rRNA from 1 species
CAAGUUGAGAGUUUGAUCCUGGCUCAGAGUGAUCAUUGGCGGCAGGCUUAACACAUGCAAGUCGAGCGAGGCUACGAGCCGAGCGGCGAACGGGUGAGUAAUACUUGGGAACGUGCCCUGAAGUGGGGGAUAACAGCCAGAAAUGGCUGCUAAUACCGCAUAAUCCACAUUGGCAAAGCGCUUAGCGCUUCAGGAUCGGCCCAAGCCUGAUUAGCUUGUUGGUGAGGUAAGAGCUCACCAAGGCGACGAUCAGUAGCUGGUCUGAGAGGAUGAUCAGCCACACUGGAACUGAGACACGGUCCAGACUCCUACGGGAGGCAGCAGUGGG